CUAGUGACCGAUAGUGAACCAGUACCGUGAGGGAAAGGUGAAAAGCACCCCGGGAGGGGAGUGAAAUAGAACCUGAAACCGUGUGCCUACAACAAGUUCGAGCCCGUUAAUGGGUGAGAGCGUGCCUUUUGUAGAAUGAACCGGCGAGUUACGAUAUGAUGCGAGGUUAAGUUGAAGAGACGGAGCCGUAGGGAAACCGAGUCUUAAUAGGGCGCAUUAGUAUCAUGUCGUAGACCCGAAACCAUGUGACCUACCCAUGAGCAGGUUGAAGGUGAGGUAAAACUCACUGGAGGACCGAACCAGGGCACGUUGAAAAGUGCUUGGAUGACUUGUGGGUAGCGGAGAAAUUCCAAACGAACUUGGAGAUAGCUGGUUCUCUCCGAAAUAGCUUUAGGGCUAGCGUCGAUGUUAAGUCUCUUGGAGGUAGAGCACUGUUUGGGUGAGGGGUCCAUCCCGGAUUACCAAUCUCAGAUAAACUCCGAAUGCCAACGAGAUAUAAUCGGCAGUCAGACUGCGAGUGCUAAGAUCCGUAGUCGAAAGGGAAACAGCCCAGACCACCAGCUAAGGUCCCAAAAUAUAUGUUAAGUGGAAAAGGAUGUGGGGUUGCACAGACAACUAGGAUGUUAGCUUAGAAGCAGCUAUUCAUUCAAAGAGUGCGUAAUAGCUCACUAGUCGAGUGACCCUGCGCCGAAAAUGUACCGGGGCUAAAACAUAUUACCGAAGCUGUGGAUACCUUUAUAGGUAUGGUAGGAGAGCGUUCUAUGUGCGAAGAAGGUGUACCGUGAGGAGUGCUGGAGCGCAUAGAAGUGAGAAUGCCGGUAUGAGUAGCGAAAGACAGGUGAGAAUCCUGUCCACCGUAAGACUAAGGUUUCCAGGGGAAGGCUCGUCCGCCCUGGGUUAGUCGGGACCUAAGGAGAGACCGAAAGGUGUAUCCGAUGGACAACAGGUUGAUAUUCCUGUACUAGAGUAUAUAGUGAUGGAGGGACGCAGUAGGCUAACUAAACCAGACGAUUGGAAGUGUCUGGCCAAGCAGUGAGGUGUGAUAUGAGUCAAAUGCUUAUAUCUAUAACAUUGAGCUGUGAUGGGGAGCGAAGUUUAGUAGCGAAGUUAGUGAUGUCACACUGCCGAGAAAAGCUUCUAGCGUUAAUUAUACUCUACCCGUACCGCAAACCGACACAGGUAGUCGAGGCGAGUAGCCUCAGGUGAGCGAGAGAACUCUCGUUAAGGAACUCGGCAAAAUGGCCCCGUAACUUCGGGAGAAGGGGCGCUGACUUAUGGUCAGCCGCAGUGAAUAGGCCCAAGCAACUGUUUAUCAAAAACACAGCUCUCUGCUAAAUCGUAAGAUGAUGUAUAGGGGGUGACGCCUGCCCGGUGCUGGAAGGUUAAGAGGAGUGCUUAGCAAUAGCGAAGGUAUGAAUUGAAGCCCCAGUAAACGGCGGCCGUAACUAUAACGGUCCUAAGGUAGCGAAAUUCCUUGUCGGGUAAGUUCCGACCCGCACGAAAGGCGUAAUGAUUUGGGCACUGUCUCAACGAGAGACUCGGUGAAAUUUUAGUACCUGUGAAGAUGCAGGUUACCCGCGACAGGACGGAAAGACCCCAUGGAGCUUUACUGCAGUUUGAUAUUGAGUAUCUGUACCACAUGUACAGGAUAGGUAGGAGCCUAUGACCUCGGGACGCCAGUUUCGAGUGAGGCGUUGUUGGGAUACUACCCUUGUGUUAUGGCUACUCUAACCCAGAUAGGUUAUCCCUAUCGGAGACAGUGUCUGACGGGCAGUUUGACUGGGGCGGUCGCCUCCUAAAAGGUAACGGAGGCGCCCAAAGGUUCCCUCAGAAUGGUUGGAAAUCAUUCGCAGAGUGUAAAGGUAUAAGGGAGCUUGACUGCGAGAGCUACAACUCGAGCAGGGACGAAAGUCGGGCUUAGUGAUCCGGUGGUUCCGCAUGGAAGGGCCAUCGCUCAACGGAUAAAAGCUACCCUGGGGAUAACAGGCUUAUCUCCCCCAAGAGUUCACAUCGACGGGGAGGUUUGGCACCUCGAUGUCGGCUCGUCGCAUCCUGGGGCUGUAGUCGGUCCCAAGGGUUGGGCUGUUCGCCCAUUAAAGCGGCACGCGAGCUGGGUUCAGAACGUCGUGAGACAGUUCGGUCCCUAUCC
rnacentral:rRNA from 1 species